AGAGUCUUGAGAAUUAAAGUCAUUGAUUAAAAUAGAUAUAACUUGGAAGAUAAGUUAGAUAUGCGAUCCAUUUUGCCAUUUCAAUUAUUCUUCCGAUGGUCUAUUUUGGUAGCACCUAAGCGUGUUUAACCAUAGAAUAUGGUUUGACGAAUUUAUAAUAAAAAUGACGACGUAUAGGUAAUCAAGACAAGGCGUAUUUUUACAUUUCUUUCAUCAUUUGGAAUAUGUGAAGCCCAGUUUGAUAUAUGACCUCUUGUGCUUUCCAUAUGAUAUUUCCUUUAUUCUUUCAAUGGGUUCUUGCGAUAUCACCCAAAGAGUGUUUGGAAAGUGACUCUAAUCAACGGGACUAAUUUAUUCCGCUUUGUAACUGAAGAAUAUAAUUACUUUUUGACGGAAUACUUUAGAACCAGCCCGAAUAGUUUCACCAGGUAAAGGCUACGUACUAUUAGACUAAUACAUCUGGUUUGUAUUUAUGGAUGGAUGAUAUUGUAUUUAUGGAUCGAUUAUAUAGUACUUUAUUUUAUUUGUAGAGAGAACCAACUUACGAUGAUAUAAAUAAGCUGACCUAUAUGGAACAAGUUAUUAUGGAGACACUUAGAAUUAACCCACCAGUUAUUACGUAUACGUAUGUGCAUUAUUCUAAAGGCAGACAACCUGGACGCUCAUGUGACCAGUCCUAGAUAUGUCACGCAUUUAAUCCUGCAAUAUAUGUUUACCUGAGAGUAUGACGCUUCUUGAAACCAGACAAAUAAAAUGAUAGACCAAAAAUGUUUAUAAACCAUGGGUAUGGGAAAUUGUUAACUCGAAAAAUAAACACCAUUUCAAAGCAGACGGUAAUUCAGACACAGCACGUGUCUGCAUAUUAUGAAGCAUACUGAACAUCAAAAGCAACAUGAAUUACAUUUGACAAACGUUUUAAAUCUCAGUUAUUCAUCAGUGUAUUUCUCAAAACAUAUUUCCAGUGCAAAUCGUAAAGCUUCAACAGACGUUGAUAUCAAAGGCGUUCAUAUCCCGAAAGAUGCGAUGGUGAUGAUUCCUAUCUAUAGCAUCCAGCAUGAUCCAAAGAACUAUGAAAAUCCCGAGGAAUUCAGACCAGAAAGAUUUGACGCUGCUACACGACAAGAAAGUAACCCGAUUACAUUUUUGCCAUUUGGCUACGGACCAAGGUUGUGUAUUGGAAUGAGAUUGGCUUUGCUGGAGACUAAAAUAGCACUUGUGUGCUUACUUAGAAGGGUUCGAUUUGCUAAAUGUUCUGAAACACCAGACAAACUAAAUUUUAAAACUGUUGGUAUUCCGUCCACAAAAGAUCCAAUGAAACUUGCUGUAGAACUGGUUCCCAAGCAAAACUUUUAGGCCUUUUGGGAAUAAAUGGAAAACAGAAUAGUACUUGUUAGUGUAAUUAUAAUUUCUGUCACAUUGGAAGUCACGUUUUUUGCUCCGAAUACGCUGGAUAGAGAAAUAUUUUAAUUGUGAAUAUGCCAUAAGUCUUUAAAAUGGCUAAACCGUGUUAAUAGGGUCAAAAAUAAAAUUAUCGAUUUUCUUUGCUUUCCUACAUUGAAUUUUCUUGUGGAAUGACAAUAAUAUGUCUUCUUUGAGAAUUUUACAUGAAAAUGUAAAGCCUAUCUUAAAAUAUAUGUAUAACCGAUUGUGUGUUCUACUGUUGACAUGGUAAGCUAAAAUUAGU